CAGCAGCCGCGGGAAAACGUAGGUGGCAAGCGUUGUCCGGAAUUAUUGGGCGUAAAGCGCGCGCAGGUGGUUUAAUAAGUCUGAUGUGAAAGCCCACGGCUCAACCGUGGAGGGUCAUUGGAAACUGUUAAACUUGAGUGCAGGAGAGAAAAGUGGAAUUCCUAGUGUAGCGGUGAAAUGCGUAGAGAUUAGGAGGAACACCAGUGGCGAAGGCGGCUUUUUGGCCUGUAACUGACGCUGAGGCGCGAAAGCGUGGGGAGCAAACAGGAUUAGAUACCCCUGUAGUCCCUGUCUCUUAUAU
rnacentral:rRNA from 1 species